rnacentral:rRNA from 1 species
AGAGUUUGAUCCUGGCUCAGGAUGACCUCUAGCGACAGGCUUAACACAUGCAAGUCGAGGGGCAGCGGGGUUGUAGCAAUACAACUGCCGGCGACCGGCGCACGGGUGAGUAACACGUAUGUAACCUGCCCUCUGCAGGGGGAUAAGCGGAAGAAAUUCCGUCUAAUACCGCAUGAUACAAUUUGGAGACAUCUCCGGGUUGUCAAAGGAGUGAUUCGGCAGAGGAUGGGCAUGCGGCGCAUUAGCUAGUCGGCGGGGUAACGGCCCACCGAGGCUACGAUGCGUAGGGGUUCUGAGAGGAAGGUCCCCCACACUGGUACUGAGACACGGACCAGACUCCUACGGGAGGCAGCAGUGAGGAAUAUUGGUCAAUGGGCGGAAGCCUGAACCAGCCAAGUCGCGUGAGGGAAGACGGUCCUAUGGAUUGUAAACCUCUUUUGCAGGGGAGCAAGGCGCGGUACGUGUACCGCGAAGGAGAGUACCCUGAGAAAAAGCAUCGGCUAACUCCGUGCCAGCAGCCGCGGUAAUACGGAGGAUGCGAGCGUCAUCCGGAUUUAUUGGGUUUAAAGGGUGCGCAGGCGGACUGUUAAGUCAGCGGUAAAAUGUCGGUGCUCAACACCGGCCGGCCGUUGAAACUGGCAGCCUUGAGUGAGCGAGAAGUAUGCGGAAUGCGUGGUGUAGCGGUGAAAUGCAUAGAUAUCACGCAGAACUCCGAUUGCGAAGGCAGCAUACCGGCGCUCAACUGACGCUCAGGCACGAAAGCGUGGGUAUCGAACAGGCUUAGAUACCCUGGUAGUCCACGCAGUAAACGAUGAAUGCUCACUGUCCGGGCCGUUUAAGGCCUGGGUGGUCAAGCGAAAGCGUUAAGCAUUCCACCUGGGGAGUACGCCGGCAACGGUGAAACUCAAAGGAAUUGACGGGGGCCCGCACAAGCGGAGGAACAUGUGGUUUAAUUCGAUGAUACGCGAGGAACCUUACCCGGGCUCAAACGGAAGGGGACAGUAUGAGAAAUCAUACAUUCCUUCGGGACCGCUUCCGAGGUGCUGCAUGGUUGUCGUCAGCUCGUGCCGUGAGGUGUCGGCUUAAGUGCCAUAACGAGCGCAACCCCUAUCGACAGUUGCUAGCAGGUAAAGCUGAGGACUCUGUCGAGACUGCCGGCGCAAGCUGUGAGGAAGGCGGGGAUGACGUCAAAUCAGCACGGCCCUUACGUCCGGGGCGACACACGUGUUACAAUGGCAGGUACAGCGGGAGGCCACCCGGCGACGGGGCGCAGAACCCGAAAACCUGUCUCAGUUCGGAUUGGAGUCUGCAACCCGACUCCAUGAAGCUGGAUUCGCUAGUAAUCGCGCAUCAGCCACGGCGCGGUGAAUACGUUCCCGGGCCUUGCACACAAAGCCCGUCA